UCGCACAGGUUUUCUUCAGCAUAUAUCUAAUUUCGACAUCUCAAGGCAGCGCUGAGGCGAAUUUCUAAUCAGAUGAUCAAAAUUCAACAUUUUCUUGUUACUUUUGCGGUUUUGCAAUUCAUCAUCAUAGUGAUGAAUAAUUAUAAGCAACGGCACGAAUUCAUCGGUGUAAGACAAUCGAUUACGAGAUUGCUUUAGACUUGAUAACAAACGUUGGAUUUUUAUUAUUAUUUAUUAGUAGUAGCCUACAACACGAAAAAAUGAGAAAAGUAUGAUCUUCAGAUACAGUUAGGAAUUAAUCAAGAUGGAUCAGUGAACAUCUGAACAAACGUUUGAUAUCGUGUAAAUUCUUUUUUUUUGUUUGCUUUAUUAAGAAGAUAAAGCAAGGCAGUGAAAAGUCAAUUGUGAGGGGAGGGACACGUAAAUUAAUUUUGGUGAGAUCAGAUGCAGUGGUGAUGUUUGUUGAGUGACUGAUGAGUGCAUCUUGAUGUGGAUAUGGGUAAAGUUACAAUAUUUUCACUAACUAUUCCCUUUAAAAUAACAUUUUUCCCACAAAAUGGAAAUACCUACUCCCUAACCAGCAACCGCAGCAACCAGCUAGCUUGUGAAUUUCGUUUUCCGCAAAAAAUUUUUUGUUGUUGAUGCAUUUGCAUUAUUCGAAGGGAAUAACGAGUUGGCAACCCUGUUGGUUUUCUUCUUAGUCAUACGACUCAGUCUCAAGUCGCAUUAACUAUUCAACCGUUGACAGAAUAUGUUGGAACUCUGUGGGCUGUUCAUGGUUGUUGAUUGUCAUUGUUGGAAUGAGGAGUUGUGCGUCAUUUGAAAAAUGUAAUAACAAAUUUAAACCAGUUGAAACAAUUGUCCAGUCAAGAGAUGAUUCUCCAUGGUUUCUGAAAUCAAAAGUCAAAAGGUUGACAACAUUGCUUGAACUAGUGCAAACUGAUGACCAUAGAUGAAAAAUGUUGACCAGUGAGUGAAAAAUCGCAUACUGUGUGCAGAUCAUGAGAUGUACCACACUGUGUUAUGGAAGUGCCGGGUAGUGCCCACUUUGCCAGUAGCCAUUAUUGUGUCCUGCAAACAAAGGUGCUGAAAGGUGGUUACAAGUUGCAUGACGUGUCUUCCGCGGUGUUUUACUGGAUCGCCCAACUUGGUGUUUGCGUAUAAGCCGGUCGGAGGCCUUCGUGAUUUGGUGUGGACUGGUUCGUAGUUGGACUACUUGGCGUGUCUUUGUAAAGGGUGUUGGUGUUAUUCUGCUGUCCGAUGUUCUCUCGCGAUACGUAAAUCGAUAUAUCUACCAUGCCUGAUGUAUGAUCGUGUAUUGCGGUUUCGUGGACGUAAAUGUAUGCUAAGACUGCUGUACAUUUAGCCACAACGUCGUCUCUUCUCUCUUGCUAUACAUGAACAUCUGCUGCGCCACCAACCAAAGAUUACCAGGCAGAUGAGAAGCUGAGCUUAUUCGUAGCAGUCCAAUUUGCGUAUGGAUUUGUUGAAGCCGGCCAGUGAAAACUCUGAUAUUGAGCUGUUGCAGUCGUUAGUUCUGGUGUUAUCCUGAAGGGCUAAAGAGCUCUAUUCUUCAUGUCUUACGGGAGUGAUCAUGUCUGAAUCGAUGUGUGAUUUUAAUGAUGUAGAAGUUAAGCCUGAAAAAUGCAGACCAGGAGAAGGAUAUUUAAUUGUGGGGAUUUUAAAAUCUCUUGAAGCCAUUCAGGAUGGUGGUGAUUGACAAAGGAGCUAUAACCUACAAGACGUAAACUUAAGGAAAUUGCUACCGGAAUUCUCCACAAACGGUAAUUUUUUAAGGGAUUGUUAGUUUUACUUAAUAGUAAUUAAUGUUUCUUAAAUUAUUCAAUCUCUUAAACAUACCUUUUCUUGUUUGGAAUAUUUAAUCAAUUAACUGCUUUUGAUUCAUUGAAAUUAUAAUUCCGAUAAGAAGUUUUUAAACUUUAGCUAAAAGCAUCUGAAAUAUUCCUGCUGGUUUCUUUGACAAAUAUGUAUGCCUGCAAAUAUAUAAAAUGUUUUUCUUUAA
rnacentral:lncRNA from 1 species